rnacentral:rRNA from 1 species
UACGUAGGGUGCGAGCGUUGUCCGGAAUUAUUGGGCGUAAAGAGCUCGUAGGCGGUCUGUCACGUCGGCUGUGAAAACCCGAGGCUCAACCUCGGGCCUGCAGUCGAUACGGGCAAACUAGAGUGUUGCAGGGGAGACUGGAAUUCCUGGUGUAGCGGUGAAAUGCGCAGAUAUCAGGAGGAACACCGGUGGCGAAGGCGGGUCUCUGGGCAACAACUGACGCUGAGGAGCGAAAGCGUGGGGAGCGAACAGG